GACGAACGCUGGCGGCGUGCUUAACACAUGCAAGUCGAACGGUAAGGCCCUCCGGGGUACACGAGUGGCGAACGGGUGAGUAACACGUGGGUGAUCUGCCCUGCACUUCGGGAUAAGCCUGGGAAACUGGGUCUAAUACCGGACAGGACUCCUGGCUUGAUGGUUGGGGGGGGAAAGCAUUUGCGGUGUGGGCUGGGCCCGCGGCCUACCAGCUUGUUGGUGGGGUAAUGGCCUACCCAGGCGACGACGGGGAGCCGGCCUGAGAGGGUGACGGGUCACACUGGGACUGAGAUACGGCCCAGACUCCUACGGGAGGCAGCAGUGGGAAAUAUUGCACAAUGGGCGCAAGCCUGAUGCAGCGACGCCGCGUGAGGGAUGACGGCCUUCGGGUUGUAAACCUCUUUCAGCUAUGACGAAGCGCAAGUGACGGUAGUAGCAGAAGAAGGACCGGCCAACUACGUGCCAGCCGCCGCAGUAA
rnacentral:rRNA from 1 species